GAUGAAGAACGUAGCGAAAUGCGAUACGUAAUGUGAAUUGCAGAAUUCAGUGAAUCAUCGAGUCUUUGAACGCACAUUGCGCCCCCUGGUGUUCCGGGGGGCAUGCCUGUCCGAGCGUCAUUGCUGCCCUCAAGCACGGCUUGUGUGUUGGGCCUCCGUCCUCCUCCCGGGGGACGGGCCCGAAAGGCAGCGGCGGCACCGCGUCCGGUCCUCGAGCGUAUGGGGCUUCGUCACCCGCUCUUGUAGGCCCGGCCGGCGCUUGCCGACACAUCAAUCUUUUUUCCAGGUUGACCUCGGAUCAGGUAGGGAUACCCGCUGAACUUAAGCAUAUCAAUAAGCGGAGGA
rnacentral:misc_RNA from 1 species